UACAGAGGUCCCAAGCGUUGUUCGGAUUCAUUGGGCGUAAAGGGUGCGUAGGCGGCGCGGUAAGUCGGGUGUGAAAUCUCGGGGCUUAACUCCGAAACUGCAUUCGAUACUGCCGUGCUUGAGGACUGGAGAGGAGACUGGAAUUUACGGUGUAGCGGUGAAAUGCGUAGAUAUCGUAAGGAAGACCAGUGGCGAAGGCGGCUCUCUGGACCUCUGCUGACGCUGAGGCGCGAAAGCGUGGGGAGCGAUCCGG
rnacentral:rRNA from 1 species